AAACGGCACUAGCAGAAAUGUGUGCAGCAAUGAUAAGAGUGACGUACAGGCAGACAGGAGUGUUAAUCUGGAGUGUGACGUAGGAAAAAGUGAAGUGAGGCUGAAGAAUAGUAUAAAAAGUGAGUCAAAAAGACCACAAGACAUUCUCAAGAUGAUCUGCUAGAGACUCUGUCGGAGAGGCGCCAGAGAAACUCUACAGCAUCGAGAAUCAAUCAAUCAAUCAAUCAAUCAAUCAAUUAAUCAAUCAAUCAACGAGACAUUGGACCAGAGAUCUUCCAAGAGCCAGAGAACAAGCUCUUGCCUGCGGAUCAAGACUUGCUGAUCCAGAGGUCUACGUCGAGAACCACGAACCAUCAUCAGCCCAGAGUUAAACAUCCGGAAGGCGCAGAGCCGUUUUCACUCAGCAUUACAUUUCCUGAGACUUUCUCUUGACCAUCUUCCGCUUUGUUGAACCACUUUCCUCAGCCUAAAUGAUGGCACCUUGCACCAUCUGAGAACGUCUGUGGUGGAGACUUCGGUGAAUUCCAUCUGUCCCGUGGCCAAAAGAAUGAAAAGGAGAGCAACUUGGUUUGCUAAUGUGGAAGAAUUCAGUAAGAACAAGCCCAUGACACAUGUCUGAGAGGAGCUUCAUUGAGAUUGUUUUUAAUUUUUUCAAACAAAGCAUACCAGAAGGCCUUCCUACCACUUACUGAAGAACAAAGGGUUUUGCUGUUAUCUUUUUGAAGAGAAGGCAUUUGGCCCAAUCUCAGUCCCCCCACCUCCCUCCUAUUUUAUCCAUGCCUACAGUUCUCUGUAAGAGACCAGAACACCUGAACUCACUUCAAGAAGCCCUCUCUUCGAGCACAGAGUCCUCAGAUCCGGAUGUAGAACUCUCAGCUACUUCUCCAGCACCCUGUCCGUCUGUGUGACACCAGACUUCCUGCUAAGAUGUAACGGACUGAAUCUCUGAACUGUGAUCACAGUGAACGGGCCUGUUGACCCUCUAGGUGGAAGUUUCUGUCCUUCAGUCAGCUCCCAAAUAAACACACUGAGGCUUAUAUUAAUCAUAAAUGAUUCACCAAUAGCUCAGGCUCUUACUAGGAGCCUUGAUGUGAUGAAGAAAUUACAAGAGUUGAAACACAGCCUGCUACUACUCAGAGAGGAUGAAGAGGUGGCAUUCCCAUCUCCACUUCCUCUUAGAGCAUUUCAACCUCUUCUGCUGCUGUAUAAUGUACCUAAGAGCCACAAUGAAGCACACCUGGAGAAGCUCCUUGGUUGUAGGGAAGACUUGAGUAUCCUCAGGAAACUGAGUUCUGUUGUCUAGAAAAAUAUUCCCAACAUCUGUAAUCUGUUGGAAGGAAAUGAACUGCGGAAUGUUUUCAAGCUUGGAGUCCAUCUGUAGUCUACAUGCCAGGAGUGGUGUUUUGGAAAAUAUGACUAUUGAGGGGAAUCAACGGACUUGGCAAUAUUCAGAUAAGUUUCUCUUGUCUUUGAUCUGCUACCAUUGUGCACUUGGGGAGCUUAAAAUAAUUUCAUGAUAGACUACAAAUCAUCCAGUUAGGAGCUCCCAUAGGAGAAAUGUAUUUCAUGAGUGUUCACUCCAUAAAGGCGGGCAGGACAGCUUCAGCUCAAAUAAAGACCCUUUGUAGGACUGUACUUUGUGUAAACUAUUUGACCUCAAGUUACUCAUUAAGCACCAUUAUGGAGGUCCAUUCUCAUGAAACUCUGCAAAAGAAAUCCCACAUGCUUGUUACUGAUGAGCCUCAUGAAUUUCUUCUCCUAAUCCGAGGGCUGUCAACCAAUUUAGGAUCUCUGAGUUCUUGCCACUUGAACAGCUGAACUUCUGUCCAAGUAGUGAAAACUAAAGGGUGAGAAUGAUGGGCAUCAUUGGAGUUUCAGAGGACGGAGGUGGGGCAUCGAAAGAACAUGGUUUACUCUUUGUCUGAGACAUGUGUGAGCAUUGUAGGAGACGAGAAGGCACCAGUUAGAGAAGACCUUUCCAGAGACACCCAUGUGUCUUACAAUGAGAGCAACAUCAGAGUGUGGGUAAUAGGUCGAAUGUUGCCCUCUUUUAAUCGAGAUUAAAACACAGAAUUUCUGCAAAGAGAAACCAUAACAGCUUCCCCUUAACACUUAACAACCUUGGGGCAUAAGGAGAUAGUCCCCUUAAUCUAGAUACCAGUGUCUUUAUGGUUCUUCGAAACCACAGGCUGCUUGCAGCCCCUUUGCCUGGCUGCCAGCUAUAGUGAUGAGUAAUUAUGUGCAAAGGCUUGAGAUUCACCAACAGUUUGUUGGAGGUAGAAAAUGCGUUUCUUCGAUGCUUAAAAGCUACAAGACACUAAUAUGUGUCUGUGUACCAGCAGUUUAGAAAUGGAAGUUUCCACAUCCCUUGCGCCUGGUUUCAUUAGUUCACCCCACCCCAUUGGUGUUAAGGUUUUAUAAAUAAUCGGGACAGGAUUGAUUUGUUCCAUUUCAACAAACUGUAAAAGAGAACAGUCAAGAAAUCACUCCCAUCAUCGUUCCCCCAAUCAUAUUACUCUUUAAAAUUGGGCAUAAGCCUGUGUCGUUCUUCUCAAUUAGGUGAAGGAUGAUUUCAUUUCAGUAAUCUUCAGGGAAGUUAUUUCUGGUUUUGUGCAAACAUGCCAAAGUAAUGCAGCCAGCUUUCAUAAGAAGUCCAAUUUGAUUUGUCCCUGGCUAGAGGGAGACUCAAGAUGCGGCAAGACCAACCACUAGUGUUAUUUGGAUUUAAUGAGUCCGAAGGUCAUGGAUGAUGAAGCCUAGAAGAAUGGAAGACACACAGAACAGAAUCAGAGUUCCCGGGGGCUUAAAGGAUCACCAGCAAAGUACCUGUUGUGGACCUAAUCGCAUGAGAGAUCCUCUGAAUUGGCUUUUAAUGACCUGUUGAGUAAACUGGCUACUGAGUUAGGCAAAGCAUGUAUUUUAUAGCACACAGUUUCAAAGUCUCUUUUGUGGGCCAGCCGGCGGGUGACUUUAUAUGUGUUCUUCACAAACCCAAUGCAACAAUAAAGCCUGCCUUUGGAUGCAUUUAAAACAUGACCAAGAUAAAUAAAUAAGAUUCCUUUUCCCUUCUAUGUA